AAGUGUUACAGCUCUUUUAGAAUUUGUCUAGCAGGCUUUCUGGUUUUUCCCAGAAAACCCUU
rnacentral:snRNA from 1 species